rnacentral:rRNA from 1 species
UCCAGACUCCUACGGGAGGCAGCAGUGGGGAAUAUUGCACAAUGGGGGAAACCCUGAUGCAGCGACGCCGCGUGAGUGGGGAAGUAUUUCGGUAUGUAAAGCUCUAUCAGCAGGGAAGAAAAUGACGGUACCUGACUAAGAAGCCCCGGCUAACUACGUGCCAGCAGCCGCGGUAAUACGUAGGGGGCAAGCGUUAUCCGGAUUUACUGGGUGUAAAGGGAGCGUAGGCGGCCUGCCAAGUCUGAUGUGAAAUACCGGGGCUCAACCCCGGGGCUGCAUUGGAAACUGGCAGGCUGGAGUGCCGGAGAGGCAGGCGGAAUUCCUAGUGUAGCGGUGAAAUGCGUAGAUAUUAGGAGGAACACCAGUGGCGAAGGCGGCCUGCUGGACGGUGACUGACGCUGAGGCUCGAAAGCGUGGGGAGCAAACAGGAUUAGAUACCCUGGUAUAC